GGCCUGUCACACUGUUCCCGCGCUGGGCGACCGCCACCGCUUCUUCGGAUCGCCAAGAGUCUACCUAGAGCGCUGUGCGUCUCCCCGACGCAAGCCCGCGAGCCUGCUUUCCUGAGUAAGCGUCCGUCGGCCGCAGUAUCUGCAAAAUGGCUGAUAAUUUGGAUGAAUUUAUUGAAGAGCGAAAAGCCAAAUUGGCCAGAGACAAAGCAGAAUUGGAAAGUGAUCCACCUUACAUGGAAAUGAAGGGAAAGGCAUCAGAGAAGCUUUCUGAAAACAGUAAAAUAUUAAUCUCCAUGGCUAAGGAAAACAUACCACCAAAUAGUCAACAGACCAGGGGAUCCUUAGGAAUUGACUAUGGAUUAAGUUUACCACUUGGGGAAGACUAUGAACGGAAGAAACAUAAACUAAAAGAAGAAUUGCGGCAAGAUUACAGACGCUACCUUACUCAGGGUAUUACACAAGCAAAAAGAAAGAAAAAUUUUCUAUCCACGAGUGAAACAGAUCCAUCUACUCUGGGAGUUUCUCUUCCUAUUGGUGAGAGGUUAUCUGCCAAGGAAAGGUUGAAACUUGAACGCAACAAAGAAUACAAUCAGUUUCUCAGGGAUAAGGAAGAAUCCAUUGAAAAGUUCAGACAGGUAGAAAGGAGUGCUGAGCACAAGAAUCAAAGAAGUAAAAAACCUAUCAGUCAAGUUAAACCUGACUUACCUUCACAAAUACAGUCAUCUUGCGAAAAUUCAGAGGGUCCUAGGAAAGAUGUCUUAACUCCUUCAGAGGCGUAUGAAGAGCUUCUAAACCAAAGACGGCUAGAAGAGGACAGAUACCGAAAACUAGAUGAUGAAAUUGAAUUAAGGAAUAAUAGAAGAAUCAUUAAAAAAACUAAUGAAGAAGUGGGCAUUUCCGAUAAAAAACAUCAAAGGUUUGUCAGCAAAACUGACAUUCCAGAUAGAAGAUUUCACAGGUUUAACGAGGAUCAUACUUUUGAUAAACAGUAUUAUAGACCAGGCCAAGAUCCUGAAGUAAGUGAAGAAAUGGACGAGAGGUUUAGAUAUGAAAGUGAUUUUGAUAGAAGACUUUUGAGAGUGUAUACAAAUGACAGGAUGUACGGGAACAGACGAGGGAAUGUGCCUCCUAUGGAGUAUGGUGGUGAUGUCACAGAACAGUCAAACAUACGAAUUUCAUCUGCUGGAAAUCAAAGCGCUCAAGACAAUGAACCAUCCAAACCUACUAACAGAGAGAUGUGUAGUCCUUUUGCAGGGAUGCUCUUUGGAGGUGAAGAUCGAGAACUUAUUCAGAGAAGGAAGGAGAAAUAUAGACAAGAGCUCUUAGAACAAAUGGCUGAACAACAGAAGAACAAGAGACGAGAAAAAGAUUUGGAUCUCAGGGUUGCAGCUUCUGGAGCACAAGAUCCCGAGAAAUCGCCUGAUAGACUAAAGCAGUUUAGUGUGGCACCAAGACACUUUGAAGAGACAAUACCACCUGAAAGACCCAGAGUAGCUUUCCAGACACCUCUCCCUCCUUUGUCAGCCCCAUCUGUCCCACCCAUCCCAUCAGUUUACUCCAUCCCAUCUCAAAAUGAAGAUUUGCACAGUGGACUCAGCAGCACCCUUGGUGAAAUGGUGCCUCCCAGGAUUGCACCUCUGCCUCCACCUCCCCUGCUACCACCUUUGGCUACCAACUAUCGCACUCCUUAUGAUGAUGCAUACUACUUUUAUGGGACCAGGAAUACUUUGGAUCCUAGUCUUGCCUAUUAUGGCUCAGGAAUGAUGGGAGUACAGCCUGCAGCUUAUGUUACAGCUCCUGUCACCCACCAGCCAGCACAGCCUGUUGUGAGUACGGUUGGACAGAAUGAACUGAAAAUUACAAGUGAUCGAGCAAUAAAUUCUGGAUUGUUUUUUGAAGAUAAACCAAAGCCUUCAAAACAGUCACUUCAGUCUUACCAAGAAGCUUUGCAGCAGCAGAUUCGAGAAAGAGAAGAAAGAAGAAAGAAAGAACGUGAAGAAAAAGAAGAAUAUGAAGCAAAAUUAGAGGCUGAAAUGAAAAGUUAUAACCCCUGGGGGAAAGGUGGAGGUGGUGCUCCUCUGAGAGAUGCAAAAGGAAAUCUGAUAACUGAUUUGAAUAGGAUGCACAGACAAAAUAUAGAUGCCUACCAUAACCCAGAUGCAAGAACAUAUGAAGAUAAAAGGGCUGUUCUAUCUCUAGACCAAAAUUUAGCCACUUCAAAUGCUGAGAACCUAGAAGAUUCUGCAAAUAAAAACUCAGGUCAUAUGCAAACACAGAGCUCUCCUUUUGCUCGGGGAAAUAUUUUUGGUGAGCCUCCAACUGAACUUCAGAUUAAACAGCAGGAAUUAUACAAGAAUUUUCUUCGUUUUCAGAUUGAAGAAAAGAAACAAAGAGAAGAAGCAGAGCGAGAGAGAUUGAGAAUUGCUGAAGAAAAAGAAGAAAAACGGCUUGCAGAACAGAGAGCACGAAUUCAGCAAGAGUUUGAAGAGGAACAGGAAAAGAAAAGGGAGAAAGAGGAGGAGCAAAGGCUGAAAAAUGAAGAGCUUAUUCGGUUAGCUGAAGAAAGACGAAAAGAAGCAGAAAGAAAGAAGAAAGAAGAAGAAGAAAAGCAUAACCUGCAACUUCAGCACUACUAUGAAAGAGAAAAUAUAAUUGGGGAAGAAACAAAGCACUUGAGACAGCCUUCUCCUGUAGUUCCUGCUCUUCAGAACAAGAUUGCAGGCAAACUCCAAAGACCGCCUUCAGUUGACAACAUUAUAACUUCCUUUAUUCAAGAACGUUCCAUGUCCAGGGCACAGUCUCCUCCGGUACCUGCCAGGAAAAAUCAGCUUCGUGCAGAAGAGGAGAAAAAAAAUGUAAUUAUGGAAUUAUCAGAAAUGAGAAAGCAGCUUCGUAGUGAAGAGCGGCGUCUGCAAGGGCGGUUGCUACACAUGGACAGUGAAGAUGAAGUUCAUAUAAGGAAAAGAGAAAGGAAUCCCAUGGAUGUAUUUGACAUGGCCAGACGUCGUUUACAGGCUCCAGUCAGAAGACAGUCACCUAAGGGCCUAGAUGCCACUACUUUUCAGAAUAUUCAUGACUUUAAUGUGCUGAAAGAUAGAGAUUCAGAAACACGAGUUGAUCUGAAAUUUAUGUACCCGGAUCCUCCAAGAGAUUAUCACACCUUAGAGAUUCAGCAGCAAGCCUUGCUGAGAGAGCAGCAGAAGAGACUGAAUAGAAUGAAAAUGCAGGAAGGUGCUGAAGUUGACUUGGAUGCUGUCCCAAGCACUAAAGUACGAGACCACAGAGUGAGAUGAAGAAGCAGGAAAAACAGGUUUCAGGGUGAGGGAGAAGGUCAGCAACUUAGUUACAGUCAUGGUAAGUUUGCGAUGCCUGCUAGACAAACAGCUGGAGCUGGUGAGUAGACGGAUAAGAGAAAGAGUUUAUUUCCACACUCACUCCUUCUUUGAUCUUCCCCUACACUAACAAUAUAUGUAAUAUUAUCCCCAUUUUUAGAUGAAGACUCAGCUAGGCUGUUAGUUGCCCAGCUGGUAGCUGGUGGUGCUUGGUUUUGAACUGAUAAUGGUGAUAAGUGUUGUGGUAGUGACACUCUGUACCAGCGUGUGCCAGGUACUUUUUGACAUUUGCUCUAAAGUUCACAACAAGGUAUGCUUAUCCCCAUUCUACAUAAGAGGGAACUGCUACCCAUGGUCACACAGCCAGUGAGCAGAAAAGCUCACAUCUGAACGCAGGCUGGACUCUGGAGCCCCUCCCUGUCCCUGUACCACUUUGCCUGAGAUAUAUGGACCCUUUUCUGAACACUCUGUAGGUUUCUUUGUAUGUGGCAGCCACAUUUCUCAGUGAGAAGAUACUGAAAUUUAACUUCUGGGAUUUUGAUUAAAAUCCUGGUUUAAUAACACCAUAUUUUGCUGAGUAGAAACUGAGCACAAGCCAACAGUUUAACGUGGCUGUUAUAAAAAAAGCUAAUAAAUUUUGGUUUCACCUUCCUAGAAACUGGAUUAUAUGGAAAAUGCAAGGUGAAACUGGGGAAGAUUGUCAUGGAGAACAUAGGGCUGAGGUGGGCUUUAAUCACUCUUUCCAGUGUGAAGGAUUGUGAUGCAGAAGAGAAGCUGGGCAGUGUGUACGCAGUGCUAAGAACAGCUAGUGAAUAAUCAGAUGCUGUUAUUACCACUACUGUCAUGCUAGAAAGCAGAAGUAGAUCAGUGGGUGUUAAAUGUAAAAGAAUUCAGUAUGUGGAAGAACUCAGUGAAAGAGAAGAACUUUGUGAUAACCAAUGCUAUGUCUCAGUGGAAUGCAUUUCCUUAGAAAUUAAUGGACAGCUCUUCACUGGAGUGUUCUAACACAUCAUAGAAAUCUGGAAGGGAAGUGCAGGGACGUGGUGUUGGGUGACUUUAGGUUCCCUCCAGUAUGUAAAGUGACAUUAUUCUCUAUUGUAAAACUCUCUAUAUGUAAAUUUCUUACCUCUAAUUUGAGAGCUCAUUCCAAGCCCAACCCUAGCAUUAUUUUUUAUGUCCCUAUCUGUGCUGUGCCUUUGUGACAGCUGCUGUCAUGUGGGGCUGUCAUAAUCUGAGGGCAUGUCUCUCCCCCACGGGACUGUGACUCUUACUCAUCUUUGUAUCUCCGGUUCCUAGCACGGAGGACAUAGUAAGGGCACUAAACAGAUUUAUUGAGAGAAUGACUGAAUCUCAACAAUGGUUUAAAGGCUUUUAAUGUUUAACUGGGUUCUCUGCUUCAUACUCUGUUAUAUUUUUAUCAGCAAUAAUGUAACUCUUAAUAAAAGGUCUUUCCUGUAUUUUCUGGGGAUUGGACUGUGGUACCUCUGCCCACCGACUUUUGCUAAUUUUGGGGAGAGUGUGGAGACUUGUGCCUCUCAGUACAAAUUUGUUUUUCCACACAGGACUAAUAAAAAUAGUCAUUAAUAGGUGUUGUUUCUUCUAGCCCAGAGAUGACACUAAUGAUUUCUUGAAAAAUUCAUUAUUGGAAUCUGAUAGUGCUUUUAUUGGUGCAUAUGGCGAGACGUAUCCUGCCAUCGAGGAUGACAUCCUCUCUCCACCGUCACAGCUGCUGUCUGCGAGGGAGCGCAGGAG